rnacentral:rRNA from 1 species
AUUGAACGCUGGCGGCAGGCCUAACACAUGCAAGUCGAACGGUAACAGGAAGCAGCUUGCUGCUUCGCUGACGAGUGGCGGACGGGUGAGUAAUGUCUGGGAAACUGCCUGAUGGAGGGGGAUAACUACUGGAAACGGUAGCUAAUACCGCAUAACGUCGCAAGACCAAGGAGGGGGACCUUAGGGCCUCUUGCCAUCGGAUGUGCCCAGAUGGGAUUAGCUAGUAGGUGGGGUAACGGCUCACCUAGGCGACGAUCCCUAGCUGGUCUGAGAGGAUGACCAGCCACACUGGAACUGAGACACGGUCCAGACUCCUACGGGAGGCAGCAGUGGGGAAUAUUGCACAAUGGGCGCAAGCCUGAUGCAGCCAUGCCGCGUGUAUGAAGAAGGCCUUCGGGUUGUAAAGUACUUUCAGCGGGGAGGAAGGGAGUAAAGUUAAUACCUUUGCUCAUUGACGUUACCCGCAGAAGAAGCACCGGCUAACUCCGUG